GCGGAAGUGGCGGAACUGGCAGACGCACCAGCUUGAGGGGCUGGCGUUCGCAAGAACGUGGGGGUUCGAAUCCCCCCUUCCGCACCA
rnacentral:tRNA from 2 species